rnacentral:rRNA from 1 species
GACGAACGCUGGCGGCGUGCUUAACACAUGCAAGUCGAACGGAAAGGCCCUGCUUUUGUGGGGUGCUCGAGUGGCGAACGGGUGAGUAACACGUGAGUAACCUGCCCUUGACUUUGGGAUAACUUCAGGAAACUGGGGCUAAUACCGGAUAGGAGCUCCUGCUGCAUGGUGGGGGUUGGAAAGGUUCGGCGGUUGGUGAUGGACUCGCGGGGGAUCAGCUUGUUGGUGGGGUAGUGGCUUACCAAGGCUUUGACGGGUAGCCGGCCUGAGAGGGUGACCGGCCACAUUGGGACUGAGAUACGGCCCAGACUCCUACGGGAGGCAUCAGUCCGGCCUCUUGCCCCCUGGGCGGCCGCCUGCUGCAGCAACCCCGCGUGCGGGAUGACGGCCUUCGGGUUGUAAACCGCUUUCGCCUGUGACGAAGCGUCAGUGACGGUAAUGGGUAAAGAAGCACCGGCUAACUACGUG